UCCGGAUAAACACUCGGCUUUGCCGUAUCUCUUGUCACACAGCAUUCAGCUAUAUAUACGUUCGCCUAUAUAAACCUCACUCAGUUUUUUCCGGACUCUCUCAAUUAGAGUGGAUAUAACAAACAACGCGCCUAGUGUUCGAGAUACUACCACCGACUAACCUCAUUGGAGUUAAGUGUUGACGUUCUUAUUAAAAGAAGUCAAUGAAAGACUAUGUGAAAGCAAUCUCGUUGUGCAGCUGAGAGAGCAACAGUAUACCGACGUCUCUUGCAAACUAAAGACAGUUGGCUUCUGGACACCGAGCACGACACACGCUUAGCUGAAAAACGCGUUCCUAUGGUUCCAUCUAUGCUACCAAGUGCGGAGCGAAUGUUCUGAAGCUUUUAUGAACUGGAUGUAAUUUUAUGAAAAUACCUUAUCAAAUUCUAAACCGAGCUGCUGUACACAGAUCGAGGUGACAAUUUGCGAGUGCGAUAAAAACUGUUACUUAAUUUAUAAAGGAGUGUGAGCGGGAAACCCGGUUGUCAUCCAGACUCACAAAUUCAACAUUGUUAAUCCCAGACAAACAAAAAGCUAUGCUGACAGAUUUUUCAACCUUGCAUUUCUGUUUGAAACUCACUACUUGCUGAUUGUUUUCCUCAAGUUUAUGACCUCCCUUUAUAUGAGGAAUGUGAAUUCCUUUGUUUUGCUCCAUUGAGUUCUUCAUUUCUAGCCCAUUACUUAGAGUGGCCAGCUCUUAACCUUGUUUUGGAAGAUUUAAAAAAGUAAUUGUUGAAUGUUGCGACAGUGAUAGACAACUCUGGGAAUAGACAGCUGUAGAGUGGCAAAGUGCUAAAUGUUAUCACUCAACAUGAAUCAAAUUAGUCUGCCUUAAGUCCAGUGAGCUCUCAUAUAUUCCGUUUAACUGGAAAACCUUUGCUGCAUUAGCAAAAUAUUUUCUUGA